rnacentral:snRNA from 1 species
GUUUACUUCGGCAGCACUUAUACUAAAAUUGGAACUAUACAGAGAAGAUUAGCAUGACCCCUGUGCAAGGAUGACAUGAAAAUUUGCAAAGCAUUCCAUAUUUUU